ACCUGCUCCUCCUCUUCCACUGAUUGACACAGAGAUCCUAGAUCCCCAGACGGCAGGAUCCUCGUCGGACCUGAUUUUAGUGGAGGCCCCUCAACCCGCGGAUCAGGAACUAGUCCCUGAAGAGCCACAGAGACUAGCUCCAGUCAUUCUACGUCCACCCACAGUCCAGCUUCAGUGUCCAUUCAGGCUCCUCACAGACAAGCCACAUACAGAUAUGAAUCCAGCCAUAGUCACUGCAGGAGCAGGAACAGCCUUGGCCAGCUUUUCUGGAGUUUCAAUGCUGAACGAGAUGAUACAGCAAUACAUUGUUGGUGAAGGCCAAACUAUUUCCAUUCAUCUAACAAAUCGCUGCAACACGAAAAUCCUUUCCAACCCUCAGGUUUACAUGUACUCUUCUGCUUAUGGAAACUGCUUCAACCCACCCCAACCAACUGUGCUUCCCGGACUAACUGAGAUAUGCUCCUUCGCUGGCUCUACCUCUGGAACAGCAGGGCUACUGACCUACGAUGUGGGAGAUGAGCGUUUGGCAAUCGAAUUCACAAAUUACUCUAAAGGCAUGUUUUGUGAAGUCAUGUUUGUUGGACUUGAGGUGAAAUGUGAUAGUACAUUGUACAAAAAACUGUAUGACUACCCACCAUACAUUAAUAAAUGUGGAACUGAAACCAAACGCGAGGGUAAGGAAUGCAGUGUGAAGGUAACAAUGACUGAAAUGAAAAAAUCAGUCAUGAAAAUUGAAGUCUGGGAUAAAUUAGAACAAUCUGUGUAAAGGAAAUAGCAUAUCUGCAGGGACAGGAGUAACAUAGUGUAUAUGCUCUGUUCUGGCUAGGGGUGAAUACUAUUAUUCAGUCAUAUAUUGGCUUAUUUAACCUUAAUUUAUUUAUUUUAUUUAAAUGUAUUUUUGUGACCAGAUAUAUAGCAGCAAGCACCUGUACAGAUGGAAGCUGAGCAGAAUGGCUAUAGUAGAGCAGCAUUGAACUAAAGAUACAUGGUAAAUAUCAUGAAAGCAGGUGCAAAAGGUAUACAAAGUCAGUGCUGGUAAUAAUCCGCUCUUUAGUGUUUGCUCUUCAUUGGUCUUCAUUAAUCCCUCUGCUCUGCCUCCAAUCUACUGUGCUGUUAUAGCAGUCAUAUGAGUCAUUAUCUGGUGACUAUGGCCAUGCAUUGAGUUCAUGCAUUCACCAAUACAGUCAGAUAAAUGUUGUCUAAACAAUGGUCCAGACUUGGAAAGU